ensembl:lncRNA
CCGGGACAUCUGGGUUCCUUCUGGCAAUUCUAUCUCCAGGCCCCUGCAAGGGGGCAGGGCCCAUCUCAACAACCCAUCUUCAAGAUCAUCUCCCUCCCCAGGCCCAAGAGAUAAAGCAACCAGAGGUCCGGCUGCUCCCGCUUCUUCAGCUCCAGGAAAAUGUCAAGUUCCAUCCAUGGAUGUGGCCGCCUAGCCUGCGGGGUUAGGGCAUGACCUUCACAGCACGUGCUAGGGGCUGGGGUGCCGCCGGGCAAAGAGAUCGCCAACCGUGUCUGGGUGCUGAAGAU